UAGUGCGCAAUAUAAGGGCGUACGGUGGAUGCCUAGACACUAUUCAACGAAGAAGGACGUCGCAGGGUGCGAUAAGCCUCGGGGAGCUCCCAAGCAAGCUUUGAUCCGGGGAUUUCCGAAUGGGGGAACCCAUCUGUGGUAAUACACAGUUACUGUACAGUGAAUACAUAGCUGUAUGGAGAAGACCUGGUGAAGUGAAACAUCUCAGUAGCCAGAGGAAUAAAAAGCAAAAAAAAGCUCAUCGUUUAUUCGAUGAGUGCGAUUCCCUUAGUAGUGGCGAACGAAAGGGGAACAGCCCAAACCAAUACAUUUUAGUACUACCUUAGUAUGAAUCCUUAAAGAUUCAUGAUGAGGGUAGUACUUACUACGGGUACAAGCCUUCAUAAUGUAUCGGGGUUGUAGGAUAACCUAAUUGAUCUCUUGUAGGAUCAGUAUAACUAAUGUCUUGUAUAGUCGAAGACUCCUGGAACGGAGCACCAUAGCGGGUGAUAGUCCCGUAGACGAAAUACGGCUUUAAUUGUAUAGGUUUUUCCUGAGUACGGCGGAGCACGUGAAACUCCGUCGGAAUCCGCCAGGACUAUCUGGUAAGGCUAAAUAUGAAUAGUGAUCGAUAGUGAACAAGUACCGUGAGGGAAAGGUGAAAAGCAGCCCGGAGAGGGCGAUGAAAUAGUCUCUGAAACCGUAUGUCUACAAAGAGCUGAAGUCCUAACUUUAUACCUUCGGGUAUAAAGGGGACAACAGUAUUCCUAUUGAAGAAUGAGCCUGCGAGUGUGCUAUAUGUCGCAAGGUUAAGGGCCUUUGGUCCGAAGCCGUAGGGAAACCGAGUCUUAACCGGCGCUUAAGUGGCAUAUACACAACCCGAAACCGGGUGAGCAAUCCAUGACCAGGUUGAAGGGAUGGUAAAACAUCCUGAAGGACCGAACACACGCGCCGUGCAACACGCGGUGAUGAGUUGUGGAUAGCGGAGAAAUUCCAAUCGAACUCGGUAAUAGCUGGUUCUCCUCGAAAUAGCUUUAGGGCUAGCUGUAUGCGUUCCCCUCAGGGGUAGAGCACUGGAUGCGGCUGGGGUCCCUCGGGAUACCCACUGCAAUCAAACUCCGAAUACUGAGGAUUAAAAGCAUGCAAGUUAGGCUGCGGGGGCUAAGCUUCGUAGCCAAAAGGGAAACAGCCCAGAUCAUUAGUUAAGGUCCCUAAAUCAAUACUAAGUGUAAAACGUGGUGGAGAUUCUUAUACAACCAGGAGGUUGGCUUAGAAGCAGCCAUCCUUUAAAGAUAGCGUAACAGCUCACUGGUCAAGAGUCUCUGCGCGGAAAAUGUACCGGGGCUAAGUAUUGUACCGAAACUAUGGAUUGUAUAUUCUUCCGAGAAUAUACAGUGGUAGAGGAGCAUUCCUAUCAGCGUUGAAGUCGGAUCCGUGAGGACCGGUGGAGCGAUGGGAAGAGAGAAUGCAGGCACGAGUAGCAAAAAUGCGUGUGAAAGUCACGCACGCCGAAAUCCCAAGGUUUCCAGGGCAACGUGAAUCGUCCCUGGGUUAGUCGGUCCUAAGGCCAGCCGUUCGCAAGGGCGGGUAACCGAUGGACAGCAGGUUAAUAUUCCUGCACUUGGUAUACUUUGUAUAUAUAUGUGGAUCUCAAAGCUAUGAGCGUUGUAUGGCUACACGUCUCGCAAGAGAAAGACUGCGGCUUCGGCCAAAGCCAAUUCAUAGGAGAGAGGUUCCUAGAAAAGUAUAUAUACGUUAGGGUGCAUCAAUCCGUACCGCAAACCGACACAGGUGGGAAAGUCGAGAAGACUAAGGCGCACGAGAGAAACAUGGUUCAGGAACUCGGCAAAACAGCGACCGUAACUUCGGGAUAAGGUCUGCCCUCAUUUAUGGGGGCCGCAGCUAAAGAUAUCACGCGACUGUUUACCAAAAACACAGCUCUCUGCUAACACGAAAGUGGAUGUAUAGGGGGCGAUGCCUGGCCAGUGUCAGAACGUUAAAGGGCGGGGUGAUUUCGAUUUAUCGAAAGUAGCUCUAAACUGAAGCGCUGAUGAACGCCGGCGGUAACUAUAACCGUCCUAAGGUAGCGAAAUUCCUUGUCGGGUAAGUUCCGACCCGCACGAAUGGCACAACGGUGUGAUAACUGUCUUAACCAUGUACUCGGCGAAAAUGCAAUUGUCGUGAAGAUGCGACAUUCCCGCAGCAGGACGAAAAGACCCCGUGAAGCUUUACUACAGUUUGAUAUUGACUUAUUUCUUCAUAUGUUCAGCAUAGGUGGGAGCCUUCGGGCACCAGUGAGAUACCACCCUUAUGCUGUGAUAAGUCUAACCGGACUCCAUGAAUCGGGAGUCUGGGACAGUAUCUGAUGGGUAGUUUAACUGGGGCGGUUGCCUCCCAAAAUGUAACGGAGGCGUUUACAAAGGUUGACUUGCUCCGGAUGGAAAUCGGAGUGGACGUGCAAACGCAUAAGUCAGCUUUACUGCAAGGGCUACCACCCGCGCAGUCGCGAAAGCGGAAGUUAGUGAUCCGACCGUACGAAAUAGGACGGCGGAAGCUCAUCGGAUAAAAGUUACUCCGGGGAUAACAGGCUGAUCCCACCCAAGCGUCCACAGCGACGGUGGGGUUUGGCACCUCGAUGUCGGCUCAUCGCAUCCUGGGGCUGAAGAAGGUCCCAAGGGUUUGGCUGUUCGCCAAUUAAAGCGGUACGCGAGCUGGGUUCAGAACGUCGUGAGACAGUUCGGUCUCCUAUCCGCUGUGGGCGUGGAAUGUUGAGGAAACUCAUCCCUAGUACGAGAGGACCGGGAUGGACGAACCUCUUGUGUACCGGUUGUUCUGCCAAGAGCAUUGCCGGGUAGCGAAGUUCGGUACGGAUAAGCGCUGAAAGCAUCUAAGCGCGAAGCCGUUUCCAAGAUUAACAUUCAUUAUUAGACUCGUUCUAGACUAGGACGUUGAUAGGCGCUAUGUAGAAGGCUGGCAACAGCUGCAGCAGAGGCGUACUAAUAGUCAAGCGUACUAAG
rfam:Candidatus Magasanikbacteria bacterium CG1_02_41_34 cg1_0.2_scaffold_326_c, whole genome shotgun sequence.